GGAGGGAUACCAAAGUGGUCGUACUGGGCUGGUCUCGAAAACCAAGCGUUCUGCGCAAGCAGGCACGGGGGUUCGAAUCCCCCUCCCUCCG
rnacentral:tRNA from 1 species